rnacentral:rRNA from 1 species
CGGCGAGUGAAGAGGGAAAAGCUCAAAGUUGGAACCUGGUAGGCAUAGCUUACCCGGAUUGUAAACUAAAGUUUUCGAGUCGUUUAGUCAGCCAGGUAAAUAAGUCCUCUGGAAAGGGGCGACAUAGAGGGUGAAAUCCCCGUCUUUGGCCUGAGUUUUGAUUAGGCGUUUGGCUUGGAAACGAAGAGUCAGGUUGUUUGGGAAUGCAGCCUAAAAUGGGAGGUAAAUCUCUCCUAAAGCUAAAUAUUGACGAAAGACCGAUAGCGAACAAGUACCGUGAGGGAAAGAUGAAAAGCACUUUGAAAAGAGGGUCAAAAAGUACGUGAAAUUGCUGAAAGGGAACCGUAUGAAAUCAGAUCUACUGGUAGGUAAUCAAUCUUUCCUUUGGGAAGGAUGCACUUGCCUACUAUGUAUGCCAGCGACAUUUUGGUUGGGAGGAAAAAAAUAAAGGAAAUGUAGCUUAGGUUUCGGCUUAGGUGUUAUAGUCCUUUAUAAAAUACUCUCGGCUGGAAUGAGGAACGCAGCAAACCGUAAGGCGAAGAUUUCAGGCGCUUAGAGGGAAUAAUUAGAGAAUUUCUGCUUCGGGUGGUGCUUUGAUUAUUACCUUUAACACGCUUGGAGUUCUUUUAAU